CCCUUAGAUGUUCUGGGCCGCACGCGCGCUACACUGACGAAUGCAACGAGCCUAUAACCUUGGCCGAAAGGUCUGGGUAAUCUCCAAAUUUCGUCGUGAUGGGGAUAGAUUAUUGCAAUUAUUAAUCUUCAACGAGGAAUGCCUAGUAAGCGCAAGUCAUCAGCUUGCGUUGAUUACGUCCCUGCCCUUUGUACACACCGCCCGUCGCUCCUACCGAUUGAAUGGUCCGGUGAAGCGUUCGGACCGUGGCCUUUGGACGGUUCGCCGUCUGUUGGCUGCGGGAAGUUCGUUAAACCUUAUCAUUUAGAGGAAGGAGAAGUCGUANCA
rnacentral:rRNA from 1 species